CCUGGUGACUAUAGCGGGGUGGCUGCACCCGAUCCCAUUCCGAACUCGGCCGUGAAACGCCCCAGCGCCGAUGGUACUACGUCUUAAGACGUGGGAGAGUAGGUCGUUGCCAGGU
rnacentral:rRNA from 1 species